GACGAACGCUGGCGGCGUGCUUAACACAUGCAAGUCGAACGGAAAGGCCCUGCUUUUGUGGGGUGCUCGAGUGGCGAACGGGUGAGUAACACGUGAGUAACCUGCCCUUGACUUUGGGAUAACUUCAGGAAACUGGGGCUAAUACCGGAUAGGAGCUCCUGCUGCAUGGUGGGGGUUGGAAAGUUUCGGCGGUUGGGGAUGGACUCGCGGCUUAUCAGCUUGUUGGUGGGGUAGUGGCUUACCAAGGCUUUGACGGGUAGCCGGCCUGAGAGGGUGACCGGCCACAUUGGGACUGAGAUGCGGCCCAGACUCCUACGGGAGGCAGCAGUGGGGAAUAUUGCACAAUGGGCGGAAGCCUGAUGCAGCAACGCCGCGUGCGGGAUGACGGCCUUCGGGUGGUAAACCGCUUUCGCCUGUGACGAAGCGUGAGUGACGGUAAUGGGGAAAGAAGCACCGGCUAACUACGU
rnacentral:rRNA from 1 species